UUUUAGUUUGCUUUUAGUAUCUCACUGCUCUAGCCCCUUUUAAUAGGUAAUGAAUUAUAUUAAUCUCCCUAGGCUGAGCGGGUUUUGCCCGUGAUGCUAAUUGGUGAGUGGCCUCCCUGUCCUUAUCGCAACCCUGCAGCCCGUUUUAUCCUAUUUUCUCCCCCUUUCUGCUUGAGGAGGGCGAGCGAGAGAGUGCUCGUGCUGGAGUUCAGCUGCCCAGCUGGGUGACACCACCACACGGUGUAGGGAAAAUCCCCAAGCACAGCACGGCCUGGCUUGAAGAAAUGGAGGCACAAGCAAGCACUUGGAUGUAAGCUCUUUAUUUUCUGCUUCCGCCUCAGGCUACUGAGGCUUCAAUGGGAUCGGAGCUCAGAGCCUUGCCGCACAGCUUGGAGGAGGUCGGCUGAUCUUCGGAGGUGCUCCGAGGGACAGCUCUCCUUCCAACUGCUUGGGACAGGCUGCUGGCUGACAUGCCUUGCCAAGCUCUAAUUCAGCUUUCAUGCAGUUGCAGACUGAGAGCUCUGCCUGUUAGAGGGAUCGACAGUGGGAAGUGCCAAGAUUUCAGAAUAUUCGCAGCUGAAGUCUUGCUCAAACCAGGAAGCCACAAAGGAUUCCAAAGUGUCGCAGACACUUCAACAACUCCUUUGGUGACCUUGUCAAGGGAUGCCUGUGAGAAUGCUCUCCCCGCGCCCUGACACCCACUCGGCCCGUGCUGCUGUCGGCGGCGGCGCGGAGCAGGGCGCAGAGCAGCAGGGAGCCCGCCGCAGCCAGGCCCCAGCACCGCCUCGGCGCCAUGGCAGCGCGGCGGGCCUCCGGCCAGCGCUCCGGGCCGGCGGCUCGGGCUGCGGCUGCGCGGGGAGGCCGCAACUGAAAGGCGGCGGCCGGGGCUACGCCUCUUCCUCCGCGGAGCCGGGGCAGGCGGCGGGGCUGCCGCGGGGCCCGCUCCGGGGCCCGGGGCCGGGGCCGGGGCCGGCAGGCAGGGGAGGGUGCAGAGGAGGCGGCGGCCGCCGGGUGUUCGUCUGCAGCACCGAAGCUGCUGCAGGAGGAGUCAGGUCUUCCUCUGCCGCCUCGUCAGCGAGAAGGAGCUCGGAGGUGCUCCGAGGGACAGCUCUCCUUCCAACUGCUUGGGACAGGCUGCUGGCUGACAUGCCUUGCCAAGCUCUAAUUCAGCUUUCAUGCGGUUGCAGACUGAGAGCUCUGCCUGUUAGAGGGAUCGACAUUGGGAAGUGCCAAGAUUUCAGAAUAUUCGCAGCUGAAGUCUUGCUCAAACCAGGAAGCCACGAACGAUUCCAAAGUGUCACAGACAAUUCCAAGAGCUCCUUUGGUGACGUUGUCAAGGGAAGCCUGUGAGAAUGCUCACAGCUGGGUCUGGGAUUUCCCUGUGGGGGCAGAAGAACCUGCCAUGGGGGCACCUUGCUCAGAGCCGAAGAGGGAAUGCUCCCUCUAGGGAGCAUUCUCACAGGUUCUUUUCCUCGGUUUCUUUUCUAUUGGCUUCCCCACUUGGGACGCUCUCCUGGCCAAGGGUUGCUCCUUCUGGCUGCCUUCUGGCCUUGGCUCACAUGCACUGGGCGUGCCAGGUUCGCACGACUUCUCAAAGACGUUCAUCACACUCGCCACAACCUUCUUAGCCAGCAGUGCAAUUUGCUGCUCUUUGUCAAGAGGAGAUGCCUCUGAAGGCUCUGCGCUUUCGGCACUUGCACAUGGUCUUUCUUGGAUCCCAUGGGGAGACCUUGUCAAGGGAAGCCUGUGAGAAUGCUCCCUCAAGGGGAGCAUUCCCUCGGUUUCAUUUCUUCCAGCUUCCCCACUUGCCACACCACAACCCGAGCCACCUCUUCAAUCUUCUAGCUUUCUCUAGCCACCUGAUCUUCUGAGGCAGCUUUGAAUACACCGUCUGCGGGGAUGGGUGACUUCCUCUCGGACUCGCUCACAGGAUGGAUGCUGCCAGGGAGCUUGGCAUUUUCCCUGCCCAACUCAACGCUGGAGGGAGUCACUUUCAGCCUUCUGUACUGGCCAGAGUGGAGAAAGUUUCUUCUGCUUUUGUGGGAAGGUGGGCCAGCUGGUUUUUGAGGCUGCGGUAGGCUGGCUUUCUCUUUCGUGACCAAGUACACGUUAUUGGAGGAGCUCUGGCGAGAACGGUCACUCCCCGCCAUCAGUCUUGCGUCGUUUCUUUAACUUGGCGAGCUGUUGCUGAAGCUUUUCCUGAAAGGGAACAGCAGGUUUUAGCUCACUCUUGCCUCAGAAAUGCCUCGCGUCCCUGCGUGCUGAGGUUUCGUGCCGCCCAAUGAGUACUGCCAGUACUCAUUGAACUCCUUGAGAGAGCAGACCACCUAUGGAGAGACAAGGGCAGAAAGCUCCCGAGAACUGUCAAGGUAGCUGCCAGUGGCAGGGGAGCAGCUCCUCUCCAUCCUCUCCCCUCCCCAGCGCUGGGGACGCUGCCUCCCUCCGAGCCAGGGCCGAGCGGACUCCUCGUUCUGCACCAGGCCCCACAGCGGCUGCCUCCUCCAUGCACAGGCAGCGCGAGGCAGCCUGAGAAGAGCAGGAGUGGGCACUGCCAGCAGGGCGCUGGGGUGACGUCUGCUCCCAUGGAAGGCAGCGCAGCAGCCCUGUGGCCCCCACCAGCAACAAGCGGCUGCAGCAAGCGCGCUGGCAAUCAUCGAAUCAGCAGGGUUGGAAAAGACCUUCAAGAUCAUCUGCUCCAACCAUCACCCUACUACCAAUGUCACUAAGCACCAUGUCGCUAAGCACCAGCUCCAAGCUUUCCUUACACACCCCCAGGGACGGUGACUCCGCCACUCCCCUGGGCAACCCCUUCCAAGGCCCCACUACUCUUUCUCAGAAGAAAUGGCUCCUAGUUUUCAAGCUAAACGUCCCCGGCACAACUUGAGCCCAUUCCCUCUAGUUAUCUGCAAGAAGAGGCUGACCCCCAGCUCCCCACAAUUUCCUUGCUGGGAGUUGGAGAGAGCACGAAGGUCUCCCCUGAGCCUCCUCUUCUCCUGACUAAACAACCCCAGCUCCCUCAGC